rnacentral:rRNA from 1 species
UAACGAUACGGGACUCAUCCGAGGCCCCGUAAUCGGAAUGAGUACACUUUAAAUCCUUUAACGAGGAUCAAUUGGAGGGCAAGUCUGGUGCCAGCAGCCGCGGUAAUUCCAGCUCCAAUAGCGUAUAUUAAAGUUGUUGCGGUUAAAAAGCUCGUAGUUGAAUCUGUGUGCCACGCUGUCGGUUCAUCGCUCGCGAUGUUUAACUGAUCAGAUUGUGGGACGUCCUACCGGUGGGCUUAGUCUUUCGGGACGGCCCAGCUAAUAUCCCAUCGCGGUGCUCUUCAUCGAGUGUCGAGGUGGGCCGGUACGUUUACUUUGAACAAAUUAGAGUGCUCAAAGCAGGCUAUGUUCGCCUGAAUAAUGUGUGCAUGGAAUAAUGGAAUAGGACCUCGGUUCUAUUUUGUUGGUUUUCGGAACCCCGAGGUAAUGAUUAAUAGGGACAGAUGGGGGCAUUCGUAUUGCGACGUUAGAGGUGAAAUUCUUGGAUCGUCGCAAGACGAACAGAAGCGAAAGCAUUUGCCAAAAAUGUUUUCAUUAAUCAAGAACGAAAGUUAGAGGUUCGAAGGCGAUCAGAUACCGCCCUAGUUCUAACCAUAAACGAUGCCAGCUAGCGAUCCGCCGAAGUUCCUCCGAUGACUCGGCGGGCAGCUUCCGGGAAACCAAAGCUUUUGGGUUCCGGGGGAAGUAUGGUUGCAAAGCUGAAACUUAAAGGAAUUGACGGAAGGGCACCACCAGGAGUGGAGCCUGCGGCUUAAUUUGACUCAACAC